rnacentral:rRNA from 1 species
ACAGCAGUCGCCACGGUAAUGCGUAGGUGGCAAGCGUUGUCCGGAAUUAUUGGGCGUAAAGGGCUCGCAGGCGGUUUCUUAAGCCUGAUGUGAGAGCCCCCGGCUCAACCGGGGAGGGUCAUUGGAAACUGGGAAACUUGAGUGCAGAAGAGGAGAGUGGAAUUCCACGUGUAGCGGUGAAAUGCGUAGAGAUGUGGAGGAACACCAGUGGCGAAGGCGACUCUCUGGUCUGUAACUGACGCUGAGGAGCGAAAGCGUGGGGAGCGAACAGGAUUAGAUACCCGCGUAGUCCCUGUCUCUUAUAC